UUACUACUUGGAUACCUGUGGUAAUUCUAGAGCUAAUACAUGCUGAAAACCCCGACUUCGGAAGGGGUGUAUUUAUUAGAUAAAAAACCAAUGCCCUUCGGGGCUCCUUGGUGAUUCAUAAUAACUUAACGAAUCGCAUGGCCUUGCGCCGGCGAUGGUUCAUUCAAAUUUAUGCCCUAUCAACUUUCGAUGGUAGUAUAGAGGACUACCAUGGUUUCUACGGGUAACGGGGAAUUAGGGUUCGAUUCCGGAGAGGGAGCUUGAGAAACGGCUACCACAUCCAAGGAAGGCAGCAGGCGCGCAAAUUACCCAAUCCCGACACGGGGAGGUAGUGACAAUAAAUACUGAUCCAGGGCUCUUUUGGGUCUUGGAAUUGGAAUGAGUACAAUUUAAAUCCCUUAACGAGGAACAAUUGGAGGGCAAGUCUGGUGCCAGCAGCCGCGGUAAUUCCAGCUCCAAUAGCGUAUAUUAAAGUUGUUGCAGUUAAAAAGCUCGUAGUUGAAACUUGGGCCUGGCUGUCCGGUCCGCCUCACCGCGUGCACUGGUUCGGCCGGGCCUUUCCUUCUGGGGAACCGCAUGGCCUUCAUUGGUCGUGUUGGGGAUCCAGGACUUUUACUUUGAAAAAAUUA
rnacentral:rRNA from 1 species